GAGGUGGAAGGAUCACUUGAGCCUGGGAGGUCAAGGUUGCAGUGAGCUGUGAUCAUACCACUGCACUCCAGCCUGAGUGACAGAGCAAGACCCUGUCUC
rnacentral:miRNA from 1 species